UGACUCGUUCAUACUACAGUGGCCACACCAGAUCCCAUCAGAACUCUGAAGUUAAGCACUGUAAGGCUUGGCUAGUACUGAGGUGGGAGGAGACCGCUCGGGAACACCAGGUGAUGAGUCAU
rfam:Plasmodium falciparum FCH/4 unplaced genomic scaffold supercont2.199, whole genome shotgun sequence.